UGACGUGACCGCAUGGUCUGCGUCUGGAAAGAAUUUCGGUUGGGGAUGGGCUCGCGGCCUAUCAGCUUGUUGGUGAGGUAAUGGCUCACCAAGGCGUCGACGGGUAGCCGGCCUGAGAGGGUGACCGGCCACACUGGGACUGAGACACGGCCCAGACUCCUACGGGAGGCAGCAGUGGGGAAUAUUGCACAAUGGGCGCAAGCCUGAUGCAGCAACGCCGCGUGAGGGACGACGGCCUUCGGGUUGUAAACCUCUUUUAGCAGGGAAGAAGCGAAAGUGACGGUACCUGCAGAAAAAGCGCCGGCUAACUACGUGCCAGCAGCCGCGGUAAUACGUAGGGCGCAAGCGUUAUCCGGAAUUAUUGGGCGUAAAGAGCUCGUAGGCGGUUUGUCGCGUCUGCUGUGAAAUCCGGAGGCUCAACCUCCGGCCUGCAGUGGGUACGGGCAGACUAGAGUGCGGUAGGGGAGAUUGGAAUUCCUGGUGUAGCGGUGGAAUGCGCAGAUAUCAGGAGGAACACCGAUGGCGAAGGCAGAUCUCUGGGCCGUAACUGACGCUGAGGAGCGAAAGGGUGGGGAGCAAACAGGCUUAGAUACC
rnacentral:rRNA from 1 species